UAGCCAUAGUGCAGGGUGCCUAGAUACGAAGGGCGGGCUCCGGAUGGUCAAGCUCUGUCGGGAGGGAACACCAUUCAGGAUAGGAAAUGAUCUUGAACUGACGGUACCUUACCAGAAAGCCACGGCUAACUACGUGCCAGCAGCCGCGGUAAUACGUAGGUGGCAAGCGUUAUCCGGAAUUAUUGGGCGUAAAGGGUGCGUAGGCGGUUUAUUAAGUCUAUGGUGAAAGUGCGGGGCUCAACCCCGUAUGGCCAUANAAACUGGUAGACUUGAGUGCAGGAGAGGGCAAUGGAAUUCCAUGUGUAGCGGUAAAAUGCGUAGAUAUAUGGAGGAACACCAGUGGCGAAGGCGGUUGCCUGGCCUGUAACUGACGCUGAAGCACGAAAGCGUGGGGAGCAAAUAGGAUUAGAUACCCUAGUAGUCCACGCCGUAAACGAUGAAUACUAAGUGUUGGAGAAAUUCAGUGCUGCAGUUAACGCAAUAAGUAUUCCGCCUGGGGAGUAUGCACGCAAGUGUGAAACUCAAA
rnacentral:rRNA from 1 species